UAAAAAUUAUACGUCUUUGCUGUUCUACGAUUCAAAAAAUGGUUUUAUCAUUAGAAUUUUAAAUAUUUCGCGCCAGUAUAGAAAUACAGUGUACCCUUGCGUCAAGGUCGGUAACGCUCAGGUAGUCUCGUUCCCAGUUGCAUUUACGUGAUUAUUUAUACACAAUAAUGUCUCGUUUUAUAUAAUUAUCACGAUAAUUCGUUACAGUGGAUGCAUUUAUAUUGUAUUACAGUAUUUUUUAAACCGGCAUAAGCAACUACCAACGACUAUUUAGAAAAAAGAAGUAGUACAAAGUACAUAUUAAAUAUAAUGCGAACUUCGUCGAGACUAACAAAUUUCGUCGAUGACGUACUUCCUUCUCGCUCCACUCGCUCAAGCUCAGUGGUGGUCUGCUCAUCUGCUGUCUGCUGUUGCUUGUUGCAUUACGUUUUGUUCCUGUUAGGUGUGAUAUGGUACACUUAAGAAUACACUUUUUUCUGGCUUUGCCUAUCGAAUCUUCUUUUAUCAGUUCAACCUUCAGCAAUGGCAGAAGCAGAACAGUAGAAUUAAUAAGGAGCUUAUCUUUCCAUCAGUCUGAUUGUUGGCUUAAUAUGGGAAAAGAAGCAUUAAACUUGUAAAUUUUCAACGUAGCAGGAACCCAUUUUGCAGAUUAAUGAAAGAUUGUUCAACCAAUGAAAAGGAAUUGCAGUUAAUUUUGAACUUGUGAGGAAG